rnacentral:rRNA from 1 species
UACGUAGGGGCCGAGCGUUGUCCGGAGUUACUGGGCGUAAAGCGCGCGCAGGCGGCCCGAGAGGUGUCACGUGAAAGCCCCGGGCUCAACUCGGGAGGGUCGUGGCAAACCGGCGGGCUUGAGGCCGGUAGAGGUGGGUGGAACUCCUGGUGGAGUGGUGAAAUGCGUAGAGAUCAGGAAGAACACCCGUGGCGAAGGCGGCCCACUGGGCCGGUGCUGACGCUGAGGCGCGAAGGCGUGGGGAGCGAACGGG